rnacentral:siRNA from 1 species
CUUAUUUACAAUAGAUGCCACUGG